rnacentral:tRNA from 1 species
GGCGAGAUGGCCGAGCGGUCUAAGGCGCCAGACUAAGGUGGUUACAUAAUCAUCCAUAUGACCAACUCAGUUUCUGAGUUAGAUAAUCUGGUCUUUCGGGGCGUGGGUUCGAAUCCCACUCUCGUCA